rnacentral:tRNA from 1 species
GCGUCGGUGGUUCAGUGGUAGAAUACUCGCCUGCCACGCGGUGACCCGGGUUCGAUUCCCGGCCGACGCA